rnacentral:snRNA from 1 species
GUGCUCACUUCGGCAGCACACAUACUAAAAUUGGCAUGACAUGGGAUGAGCAUGGUCCCUGUGAAAGAAUGACACACAAAUUCAUGAAGCAUUCCAUAUUUUA